CCUACGGGAGGCAGCAGUGGGGGAUAUUGCACAAUGGGGGGAAGCCUGAUGCAGCGACGCCGCGUGGGUGAAGAAGCGCCUCGGCGCGUAAAGCCCUGUCAGCAGGGAAGAAAAUGACGGUACCUGAAGAAGACGCCCCGGCCAACUACGUGCUAGCAGCCGCGGUAAUACGUCGGGGGCAAGCGUUUUCCGGAUUUACUGGGUGUAAAGGGGGGGCGGGGGGGGAUGCAAGCCAGGAGUGAAAGCCCGGGGGCCAACCCCGGGACAGCUCUUGGGACUGGGUGGCUGGAGUGCCGGAGGGGCAGGUGGAAGUCCUGGUGUAGCGGUGAAAUGCGUAGAUAUCAGGAGGAACACCGGUGGCGAAGGCGGCCUGCUGGCCUGCAACGGACGUUGAGGCCCGAAAGCGUGGGGAGCAAACAGGAUUAGAUACCCCAGUAGUC
rnacentral:rRNA from 1 species